UACGUAGGGGGCAAGCGUUAUCCGGAAUCAUUGGGCGUAAAGCGCGUGUAGGCGGUUCCGUAAGUCCGCUCUGAAAGCCCAGGGCUCAACCCUGGGAGGCGGGUGGAUACUACGGAACUGGAGUACGGAAGAGGAGAUUGGAAUUCCUGGUGUAGCGGUGAAAAUGCGCAGAUAUCAGGAGGAACACCAACAGCGAAGGCAGAUCUCUGGGACGUU
rnacentral:rRNA from 1 species